AAAGAUUAAGCCAUGCAUGUCUCAGUGCAAGCCAAAUUAAGGUGAAACCGCGAAAGGCUCAUUAAAUCAGCUAUGGUUUAUUAGAUGGUACGCGCUUGUACUUGGAUAACUGUGGCAAUUCUAGAGCUAAUACAUGCUAACCGAGUUCCGACCGCUCUCAAGGCGGAAGGAAUGCUUUUAUUAGAUCAAAACCAUCGAGGGCUCCUUUGGAGUUUGUAAUUACCUGUAUGACCAAGAAUAACUUUGAGCUGAUCGCACGGUCCCGCACCGGCGACGCAUCUUUCAAAUGUCUGACUUAUCAACUUUCGAUGGUAGCUUGCGCCUACCAUGGUCAUAACGGGUAACGGGGAAUUAGGGUUCGAUUCCGGAGAGGGAGCCUGAGAAACGGCUACCACAUCCAAGGAAGGCAGCAGGCGCGCAAAUUACCCACUCCCGGCACGGGGAAGUAGUGACGAAAAAUAACGAUGCAGAACUCUUUCCGAGGGUCUGCAAUCGGAAUGAGCACACUCUAAAUCAUUUAACGAGUAUCCAUUGGAGGGCAAGUCUGGUGCCAGCAGCCGCGGUAAUUCCAGCUCCAAUAGCGUAUAUUAAAGUUGUUGCGGCUAAAAAGCUCGUAGUUGGAUCUGUGUACCGCGAUGUCGGUUCACCGCCCGUCGGUGUUUAACUGACAUGCCGCGGCACGUCCUGCCGGUUGGCGGAGCGGGGGAUCGCGGGCUUUCGCUAGUCCGCGGUCUUCGGGGUCCGGCCGCUCAAGGGAGUUUUUUCGCGUUUCCGGGGUGGUCGACGCGGUCGCCUAGCGGUCGCGCUCGGCUCAUCUAACGGGGCCGGAAUCUCCUGGUCGGUUCUUCGAUCCGCGUCCGUCAGAUUUUCGAUCCCGUGGCGGUGCUCUUUGCCGAGUGUCGCGGCGGGCCGGCACGUUUACUUUGAACAAAUUUGAGUGCUUAAAGCAGGCCUGAAGAAGCCAGAAAAUCGUGUGCAUGGAAUAAUGGAAUAGGGCCUUGGUUCUAUUUUGUUGGUUUCCGGAAUUUCCGAGGCAAUGAUUAAUAGGGACAGGCGGGGGCAUUAGUAUUGCGACGUUAGAGGUGAAAUUCUUGGAUCGUCGCAAGACUAACCUAAGCGAAAGCAUUUGCCAAGGAUGCUUCUUUUAAUCAAGAACGAAAGUUAGAGGUUCGAAGGCGAUCAGAUACCGCCCUAGUUCUAACCGUAAACGAUGCCAGCUAGCGAUCCGUCGAAGUUCCUCCGAUGACUCGACGGGCAGCCUCCGGGAAACCAAAGCCUUUAGGUUCCGGGGGAAGUAUGGUUGCAAAGCUGAAACUUAAAGGAAUUGACGGAAGGGCACCACCAGGAGUGGAGCUUGCGGCUUAAUUUGACUCAACACGGGAAACCUCACCAGGCCCGGACACUAGGAGGAUUGACAGAUUAAUAGCUCUUUCUUGAUUCAGUGGGUGGUGGUGCAUGGCCGUUCUUAGUUGGUGGAGUGAUUUGUCUGGUUAAUUCCGAUAACGAACGAGACUCUAGCCUGUUAACUAGGCGAACAUAAUUCCGGCAUCAAUUCAAAAAGCUGCCGGCGGCGUGAUUUCUUCUUAGAGGGACAAGCGGCUUCUAGCCGCACGAGAUUGAGCAAUAACAGGUCUGUGAUGCCCUUAGAUGUUCUGGGCCGCACGCGUGCUACACUGAAGGAAUCAACGUGUCUCUCGUCCUAGGCCGAAAGGUCCGGGAAACCCGUUGAAUCUCCUUCGUGCUAGGAAUUGGGGCUUGCAAUUGUUUCCCAUGAACGAGGAAUUCCCAGUAAGCGCGAGUCAUAAGCUCGCGUUGAUUACGUCCCUGCCCUUUGUACACACCGCCCGUCGCUAUUACCGAUUGAACGAUUUAGUGAGGUCUUCGGACCUGUACGCGGGAGUCGCUUCGCGGCGACUUCCGAUGCUGCGGGAAAGACGACCGAACUUGAUCGUUUAGAGGAAGUAAAAGUCGUAACAAGGUU
rnacentral:rRNA from 1 species